rnacentral:snRNA from 1 species
GGAUGUGAGGGUGAUCUGACUGAGAUAUCCAUCACCCCACUACUCGCCAGGGUUGAUUCGGCUGAUCUGGCUGGCUAGGCUGGUGUUCCCUUCCCCCUUCACUGCUCCAUGUGCAUCCCUCCAGAAGCUGUGCACUUGGUCGAAGAGGAUGGUCUUUCCUGUCUUUGGUGUGAGUGUGUGUGGGGUUUAGCUGCGCUCCCCUGCCAGAACCUCCAGACAAGCUCCCCUCUAGUCUGCUGUUGGACUUUUCCUGAUAUGUUACGGUUUCCUCUUAGGCCUUCAGCUUUAGUG